GAUGAACGCUGGCGGCGUGCCUAAUACAUGCAAGUCGAGCGAACAGACGAGGAGCUUGCUCCUCUGACGUUAGCGGCGGACGGGUGAGUAACACGUGGAUAACCUACCUAUAAGACUGGGAUAACUUCGGGAAACCGGAGCUAAUACCGGAUAAUAUAUUGAACCGCAUGGUUCAAUAGUGAAAGACGGUUUUGCUGUCACUUAUAGAUGGAUCCGCGCCGCAUUAGCUAGUUGGUAAGGUAACGGCUUACCAAGGCGACGAUGCGUAGCCGACCUGAGAGGGUGAUCGGCCACACUGGAACUGAGACACGGGCCAGACUCCUACGGGAGGCAGCAGUAGGGAAACUUCCGCAAUGGGCGAAAGCCUGACGGAGCAAAGCCGGGUGAGUGAUGAAGGUCCUCGGAUCGUAAAACUCUGUUAUUAGGGAAGAACAAAUGUGUAAGUAAAUAUUGACGUCUUGACGGUACCUAAUCAGAAAGCCCCGGCUAACUACGUG
rnacentral:rRNA from 1 species